CCUACGGGAGGCAGCAGUAGGGAAUCUUCCACAAUGGGCGAAAGCCUGAUGGAGCAACGCCGCGUGGGUGAAGAAGGUCUUCGGAUCGUAAAACCCUGUUGUUAGAGAAGAAAGUGCGUGAGAGUAACUGUUCACGUUUCGACGGUAUCUAACCAGAAAGCCACGGCUAACUACGUGCCAGCAGCCGCGGUAAUACGUAGGUGGCAAGCGUUAUCCGGAUUUAUUGGGCGUAAAGGGAACGCAGGCGGUCUUUUAAGUCUGAUGUGAAAGCCUUCGGCUUAACCGGAGUAGGGCAUUGGAAACUGGGAGACUUGAGUGCAGAAGAGGAGCGGGGAACUCCAUGUGUAGCGGUGAAAGGCGUAGAUAUAUGGAAGAACACCAGGGGCGAAAGCGGCUCUCUGGUCUGUAACUGACGCUGAGGUUCGAAAGCGUGGGUAGCAAACAGGAUUAGAUACCCGAGUAGUC
rnacentral:rRNA from 1 species